rnacentral:rRNA from 1 species
GUACACAAAAAUGCACAUAUUGUGAGCUCGAUGAGUAGGGCGGGACACGUGGUAUCCUGUCUGAAUAUGGGGGGACCAUCCUCCAAGGCUAAAUACUCCUGACUGACCGAUAGUGAACCAGUACCGUGAGGGAAAGGCGAAAAGAACCCCGGCGAGGGGAGUGAAAAAGAACCUGAAACCGUGUACGUACAAGCAGUGGGAGCCUCUUUAUGGGGUGACUGCGUACCUUUUGUAUAAUGGGUCAGCGACUUAUAUUCUGUAGCAAGGUUAACCGAAUAGGGGAGCCGAAGGGAAACCGAGUCUUAACUGGGCGUUAAGUUGCAGGGUAUAGACCCGAAACCCGGUGAUCUAGCCAUGGGCAGGUUGAAGGUUGGGUAACACUAACUGGAGGACCGAACCGACUAAUGUUGAAAAAUUAGCGGAUGACUUGUGGCUGGGGGUGAAAGGCCAAUCAAACCGGGAGAUAGCUGGUUCUCCCCGAAAGCUAUUUAGGUAGCGCCUCGUGAAUUCAUCUCCGGGGGUAGAGCACUGUUUCGGCAAGGGGGUCAUCCCGACUUACCAACCCGAUGCAAACUGCGAAUACCGGAGAAUGUUAUCACGGGAGACACACGGCGGGUGCUAACGUCCGUCGUGAAGAGGGAAACAACCCAGACCGCCAGCUAAGGUCCCAAAGUCAUGGUUAAGUGGGAAACGAUGUGGGAAGGCCCAGACAGCCAGGAUGUUGGCUUAGAAGCAGCCAUCAUUUAAAGAAAGCGUAAUAGCUCACUGGUCGAGUCGGCCUGCGCGGAAGAUGUAACGGGGCUAAACCAUGCACCGAAGCUGCGGCAGCGACACUAUGUGUUGUUGGGUAGGGGAGCGUUCUGUAAGCCUGUGAAGGUGGCCUGUGAGGGUUGCUGGAGGUAUCAGAAGUGCGAAUGCUGACAUAAGUAACGAUAAAGCGGGUGAAAAGCCCGCUCGCCGGAAGACCAAGGGUUCCUGUCCAACGUUAAUCGGGGCAGGGUGAGUCGACCCCUAAGGCGAGGCCGAAAGGCGUAGUCGAUGGGAAACAGGUUAAUAUUCCUGUACUUGGUGUUACUGCGAAGGGGGGACGGAGAAGGCUAUGUUGGCCGGGCGACGGUUGUCCCGGUUUAAGCGUGUAGGCUGGUUUUCCAGGCAAAUCCGGAAAACCAAGGCUGAGGCGUGAUGACGAGGCACUACGGUGCUGAAGCGACAAAUGCCCUGCUUCCAGGAAAAGCCUCUAAGCAUCAGGUAACAUCAAAUCGUACCCCAAACCGACACAGGUGGUCAGGUAGAGAAUACCAAGGCGCUUGAGAGAACUCGGGUGAAGGAACUAGGCAAAAUGGUGCCGUAACUUCGGGAGAAGGCACGCUGAUAUGUAGGUGAAGCGACUUGCUCGUGGAGCUGAAAUCAGUCGAAGAUACCAGCUGGCUGCAACUGUUUAUUAAAAACACAGCACUGUGCAAACACGAAAGUGGACGUAUACGGUGUGACGCCUGCCCGGUGCCGGAAGGUUAAUUGAUGGGGUUAGCGGUAACGCGAAGCUCUUGAUCGAAGCCCCGGUAAACGGCGGCCGUAACUAUAACGGUCCUAAGGUAGCGAAAUUCCUUGUCGGGUAAGUUCCGACCUGCACGAAUGGCGUAAUGAUGGCCAGGCUGUCUCCACCCGAGACUCAGUGAAAUUGAACUCGCUGUGAAGAUGCAGUGUACCCGCGGCAAGACGGAAAGACCCCGUGAACCUUUACUAUAGCUUGACACUGAACAUUGAGCCUUGAUGUGUAGGAUAGGUGGGAGGCUUUGAAGUGUGGACGCCAGUCUGCAUGGAGCCGACCUUGAAAUACCACCCUUUAAUGUUUGAUGUUCUAACGUUGGCCCGUAAUCCGGGUUGCGGACAGUGUCUGGUGGGUAGUUUGACUGGGGCGGUCUCCUCCUAAAGAGUAACGGAGGAGCACGAAGGUUGGCUAAUCCUGGUCGGACAUCAGGAGGUUAGUGCAAUGGCAUAAGCCAGCUUGACUGCGAGCGUGACGGCGCGAGCAGGUGCGAAAGCAGGUCAUAGUGAUCCGGUGGUUCUGAAUGGAAGGGCCAUCGCUCAACGGAUAAAAGGUACUCCGGGGAUAACAGGCUGAUACCGCCCAAGAGUUCAUAUCGACGGCGGUGUUUGGCACCUCGAUGUCGGCUCAUCACAUCCUGGGGCUGAAGUAGGUCCCAAGGGUAUGGCUGUUCGCCAUUUAAAGUGGUACGCGAGCUGGGUUUAGAACGUCGUGAGACAGUUCGGUCCCUAUCUGCCGUGGGCGCUGGAGAACUGAGGGGGGCUGCUCCUAGUACGAGAGGACCGGAGUGGACGCAUCACUGGUGUUCGGGUUGUCAUGCCAAUGGCACUGCCCGGUAGCUAAAUGCGGAAGAGAUAAGUGCUGAAAGCAUCUAAGCACGAAACUUGCCCCGAGAUGAGUUCUCCCUGACUCCUUGAGAGUCCUGAAGGAACGUUGAAGACGACGACGUUGAUAGGCCGGGUG